UUUCCGUAGGUGAACCUGCGGAAGGAUCAUUACUGAGUGAGGGCCCCUCGGGGUCCAACCUCCCACCCGUGUUUAACGAACCUUGUUGCUUCGGCGGGCCCGCCUCACGGCCGCCGGGGGGCAUCUGCCCCCGGGCCCGCGCCCGCCGAAGCCACCUGCGAACGCUGUCUGAAGUAUGCAGUCUGAGACAAUUAUUAAAUUAAUUAAAACUUUCAACAACGGAUCUCUUGGUUCCG
rnacentral:misc_RNA from 1 species